rnacentral:rRNA from 1 species
AGUGGCGCACGGGUGAGUAACGCGUGGGUAACCUGCCCUUGAAUUGGGGAUAACUCCGCGAAAGCGGGGCUAAUACCGAAUCAUAUUCCCCAAGGCAAAGGUGCAUUUAAGGAUGGGCCCGCGUACCAUUAGCUAGUUGGUAGGGUAAUGGCCUACCAAGGCAACGAUGGUUAGCUGGUCUAAGAGGAUGGUUUGCCACACUGGAACUGAGACACGGUCCAGACUCCUACGGGAGGCAGCAGUGGGGAAUCUUGCGCAAUGGGGGAAACCCUGACGCAGCAACGCCGCGUGGGUGAUGAAGGCCUUCGGGUCGUAAAGACCUGUCAGGUGGGAAGAAUGACGGUACUACCGGAGGAAGCACCGGCUA